ACUCAAAUGAAUAGACGGGGGCCCGCACAAGCAGUGGAGUAUGUGGUUUAAUUCGAAGCAACGCGAAGAACCUUACCUGGGCUUGACAUACCGGUGACAGGUGUAGAGAUACACCCUUCUUCGGACACCGGAUACAGGUGGUGCAUGGUUGUCGUCAGCUCGUGUCGUGAGAUGUUGGGUUAAGUCCCGCAACGAGCGCAACCCCUAUUGUCAGUUGCUAACAUUAAGUUGAGAACUUUGGCAAGACUGCCGGUGACAAAUCGGAGGAAGGUGGGGACGACGUCAAAUCAUCAUGCCCCUUAUGUCCAGGGCUACACACGUACUACAAUGGCCGUUAACAACAGGAAGCGAUGCCGCGAGGCGGAGCAAAUCCCCAAAAACGGUCUCAGUUCGAAUUGCAGGCUGAAACUCGCCUGUAUGAAGUCGGAAUUGCUAGUAAUCGCGAAUCAGCAUGUCGCGGUGAAUACGUUCCCGGGCCUUGUACACACCGCCCGU
rnacentral:rRNA from 1 species